GCCGGCGUGGCGUAAUGAUCAGCGCGUCGCUCUCCUAAGGCGAAGACUGAGGGUUCGACUCCCUUCGUCGGUA